AUUGAACGCUGGCGGCAGGCUUAACACAUGCAAGUCGAGCGGAGCGAGGGUGCUUGCACCUUAGCUUAGCGGCGGACGGGUGAGUAAUGCUUAGGAAUCUGCCUAUUAGUGGGGGACAACAUUCCGAAAGGAAUGCUAAUACCGCAUACGCCCUACGGGGGAAAGCAGGGGAUCUUCGGACCUUGCGCUAAUAGAUGAGCCUAAGUCGGAUUAGCUAGUUGGUGGGGUAAAGGCCUACCAAGGCGACGAUCUGUAGCGGGUCUGAGAGGAUGAUCCGCCACACUGGGACUGAGACACGGCCCAGACUCCUACGGGAGGCAGCAGUGGGGAAUAUUGGACAAUGGGCGGAAGCCUGAUCCAGCCAUGCCGCGUGUGUGAAGAAGGCCUUUUGGUUGUAAAGCACUUUAAGCGAGGAGGAGGCUACUAGUACUAAUACUACUGGAUAGUGGACGUUACUCGCAGAAUAAGCACCGGCUAACUCUGUGCCAGCCGCCGCGGUAAGAC
rnacentral:rRNA from 1 species